CUAAUUUACAGAGAGGCUCAAUGCUUGUUCACUGGACAUAAGGACCAAAACUCUAACCACUGUCUCACCUAGCUCUGCCUCAGAAGGAAAUAAAUGAAGGAGGAAGAAAUGGAGGGAGAGGAAGAGAGCAGAGAAGAGAAAUGGAGAAAGGAUAGUAAUAUUUAAAGAGAAGUCAAACAACUAUUGCUAUACUGGAGUUAUUUCAUGCAGUAGAGUGGGGAACUUGAAGUCAGGAAGAACUUACUACUUAAGUAACCUGAAACAAAUCACUUGGAUUCUUUCUGCUUCCAUUUCUUCACCUAUAAAAUCCAAGUUUUGGAGUCUUGCAGUCUUGCAAAAGGUAUCCUUCCUGAACCCCAAAGGGAUCCUUCCUGCCCAUAACAUUUUGGCUCCCAGAAGAACGAGGGAAACCACAGGGGUACACAUUGACCACCAUAACAUUUUGAUGCCCAAUGUUUUUGGCCUUGGAUCAUCCACAAGGACACAGCCUCUCAGAGACUUGAAUUCAUUGAAAAAAUUAAAGGAUGCACAACUGAGUGACUCAGUAGAUAGGGAGUCCAUCCUGGAGCAUGUGUGUGACCUGAGAUGAGGAAAUUGAAGAAAGAGAUGCAAUGCAUCUUGUAAAUGCACCGUGUUUUCCCUAACAUCAUUGAUGUGAAAAAAUUUGAGAAGUUGUACAAAUAAAAGGUUUUGGUUAAUUAUUUAAAAUAAUAUG
rnacentral:lncRNA from 1 species